GGGGAUUUAGCUCAGUGGUAGAGCACUUGCCUAGCAAGCACAAGGCCCUGGGUUCAGUCCCCAGCUCCGAAAAAAAAAAAAAGCACUGACUGCUCUCCCAGAAGUCCUG
rfam:Rattus norvegicus chromosome 10, whole genome shotgun sequence.